rnacentral:rRNA from 1 species
AGAGUUUGAUCAUGGCUCAGAGCGAACGCUGGCGGCAGGCUUAACACAUGCAAGUCGAGCGGGCGUAGCAAUACGUCAGCGGCAGACGGGUGAGUAACGCGUGGGAACAUACCUUUUGGUUCGGAACAACCCAGGGAAACUUGGGCUAAUACCGGAUAAGCCCUUACGGGGAAAGAUUUAUCGCCGAAAGAUUGGCCCGCGUCUGAUUAGCUAGUUGGUGAGGUAACGGCUCACCAAGGCGACGAUCAGUAGCUGGUCUGAGAGGAUGAUCAGCCACAUUGGGACUGAGACACGGCCCAAACUCCUACGGGAGGCAGCAGUGGGGAAUAUUGGACAAUGGGGGCAACCCUGAUCCAGCCAUGCCGCGUGAGUGAUGAAGGCCCUAGGGUUGUAAAGCUCUUUUGUGCGGGAAGAUAAUGACGGUACCGCAAGAAUAAGCCCCGGCUAACUUCGUGCCAGCAGCCGCGGUAAUACGAAGGGGGCUAGCGUUGCUCGGAAUCACUGGGCGUAAAGGGUGCGUAGGCGGGUCUUUAAGUCAGGGGUGAAAUCCUGGAGCUCAACUCCAGAACUGCCUUUGAUACUGAGGAUCUUGAGUCCGGGAGAGGUGAGUGGAACUGCGAGUGUAGAGGUGAAAUUCGUAGAUAUUCGCAAGAACACCAGUGGCGAAGGCGGCUCACUGGCCCGGUACUGACGCUGAGGCACGAAAGCGUGGGGAGCAAACAGGAUUAGAUACCCUGGUAGUCC